rnacentral:lncRNA from 1 species
UUUCCCUUUUGAUUAUCACAGAGAAUUUGCUAUUUUUCCCCCUGACUUGGAACUUUGCAGAAGUGACUUGCUAAACCAAGAUACUGGUUUGAUUUUGAACAUGGAACUAGAGAUUAUCAUGGGUUUGUGAAAGAACGCAAUGGGUGAUAGAAUUUGAAAGAAGACUCUUAAGGGGCUUUGCCCAGACGAGACCUGAUUAACUUCGGGGCAGUGGUUCUCACACUUUAACGUGCAUAAAAAGCACCCGGAAUAUUGCUGAAACAAUUUCUUGAACCCCAUUGCCAGACAUGACUCAGCAGGUCAGGGGCAGAGCCCAGGAGUGAGCUUUCCUAGAGAAGUCACAGAUGAUACCAGUGCUGCUGCUCCAAGGACUGUGCUUCAGAAGCUAUAGCUCUUGGCCAAUCUCCGUGAGUAAAAGUUCCUCAACCUCAGGCUUAAAGUUUAUUUUGACUGUUUACUGUAACUUUGACUUCAAUUCUCUUCUUGAAGGGCAUUACUUGUCAUCCUAAUAUGAUUACCCCCUUUUCCAGAGCAUCAGACACACAGUUGCACCCAGUACAUGGGACACAGCGAGAAUGGAAGCCAUGGGGAAGAAAAAAGCAUCAAGAGAUCAGGAUCCAGUCUCAGGAUUAACACAAUGCCUGCCACGCAUUAGGGCUUGAACAGUAUGUUUUUGAAUGAGUGAGUAAAUAUGAUGGAAUUUCAAGGCUUCCAUACUUCAGGAAAGGGAUUUUAGGUCAAGAAUCUGGUGCUCUGUGUUUUAUUUAUGUUGAAAUAAAGUCAAAUGUCAUACAUCUGUUUUUAAAAGUGGCAUAUGAAUUUUUGUGGGGGAGAUUAAAUAGUACUUUAAAUUCUUCUAGGAAGCUGGGGCCAUAGGAUGAAUCACUGUAGAAAGCAAAAUCCUUUUAUAAUUAAAAACAUUACUCUCUAACUUAUCUAGUUGUAUAAGUUUGGUUUUUCUUCAAGUGGGAAACACUGUAUUUUUACCUUAAGAAUCACCAACUUCACUUUUUA